rnacentral:rRNA from 1 species
CACGUAGGGUGGCGAGCGUUGUCCGGAAUUAUUGGGCGUAAAGGAGCUCGUAGGCGGUGUGUCGCGUCGGCCGUGAAAACCUGCAGCUUAACUGUGGGCGUGCGGUCGAUACGGGCAUCACUGGAGUUCGGCAGGGGAGACUGGAAUUCCUGGUGAUGAGCGGUGAAAUGCGCAGAUAUCAGGAGGAACACCGGUGGCGAAGGCAGCCCCCUGGGUCAAGAUUGACGCUCAGUG